UACGAAGGGUGCAAGCGUUAAUCGGAAUUACUGGGCGUAAAGGGUGCGUAGGCGGUUGUUUAAGUCUGUCGUGAAAUCCCCGGGCUCAACCUGGGAAUGGCGAUGGAUACUGGGCAGCUAGAGUGUGUCAGAGGAUGGUGGAAUUCCCGGUGUAGCGGUGAAAUGCGUAGAGAUCGGGAGGAACAUCAGUGGCGAAGGCGGCUCUCUGGAACGCAACUGACGCUGAGACGCGAAAGCGUGGGGAGCAAACAGG
rnacentral:rRNA from 1 species